rnacentral:rRNA from 1 species
CUGUCUCCACCCGAGACUCAGUGAAAUUGAACUUGCCGUGAAGAUGCGGUGUACCCGUGGCAAGACGGAAAGACCCCGUGAACCUUUACUAUAGCUUGACAGUGAACAUUGAGCCUUAAUGUGUAGGAUAGGUGGGAGACUAAGAAGUGUGUACGCCAGUAUGCAUGGAGUCGACCUUGAAAUACCACCCUUUAAUGUUUGAUGUUCUAACCUAUACUUCUGAAUCGAGGUAAGGGACACUGUCUGGUGGGUAGUUUGACUGGGGCGGUCUCCUCCCAAAGAGUAACGGAGGAGCACGAAGGUUAGCUAAUCCUGGUCGGACAUCAGGAGGUUAGUGCAAUGGCAAAAGCUAGCUUGACUGCGAGAGUGACGGCUCGAGCAGGUACGAAAGUAGGUCAUAGUGAUCCGGUGGUUCUGAAUGGAAGGGCCAUCGCUCAACGGAUAAAAGGUACUCCGGGGAUAACAGGCUGAUACCGCCCAAGAGUUCAUAUCGACGGCGGUGUUUGGCACCUCGAUGUCGGCUCAUCACAUCCUGGGGCUGAAGUAGGUCCCAAGGGUACGGCUGUUCGCCGUUUAAAGUGGUACGCGAGCUGGGUUUAGAACGUCGUGAGACAGUUCGGUCCCUAUCUGCCAUGGGCGUAGGAAAAUUGAGAGGGUUUGCUUCUAGUACGAGAGGACCGAAGUGAACGCACCGCUGGUGUUCGGGUUGUGAUGCCAAUUGCAUUGCUCGGUAGCUACGUGCGGAAUAGAUAAGUGCUGAAAGCAUCUAAGCACGAAACUAGCCUCGAGAUGAGUUUUCCCUGAAGAGAUUCAGUAAGGUCCGUUUGAGACUAAGACGUAGAUAGGUCAGGUGUGUAAGUGUAGUGAUACAUUGAGCUAACUGAUACUAAUGAACCGAGAGUCUUAACCUUACAACUC